CAAUUGUUAAAUCAACAAUGGAGUCACUGUGCGCCUGCUCCCCAUGUAGGAUCUCUGUCCUUAAUGUGUUGUACUAUAAGAAUUAAUGAUGAUGUGAUUGAAGAAAACAAUGCUUCAGAAAGAAUAUUCCAUGCACUAAGGUCACUUACUGGAGGAGGCAGGUCUUCAUUCAAUGCAAGCCAAU